GAUGAACGCUAGCGGCAGGCCUAACACAUGCAAGUCGAGGGGUAGAAGCAGCUUGCUGCUUUGAGACCGGCGCACGGGUGCGUAACGCGUAUGCAAUCUACCUUUUACUAAGGAAUAGCCCAGAGAAAUUUGGAUUAAUGCCUUAUGGUAUAUUUGAAUGGCAUCAUUUAAAUAUUAAAGAUUUAUUGGUAAAAGAUGAGCAUGCGUCCCAUUAGUUAGUUGGUAAGGUAACGGCUUACCAAGACGAUGAUGGGUAGGGGUCCUGAGAGGGGGAUCCCCCACAAUGGUACUGAGACACGGACCAGACUCCUACGGGAGGCAGCAGUGAGGAAUAUUGGUCAAUGGAGGCAACUCUGAACCAGCCAUGCCGCGUGCAGGAUGAUGGUCCUAUGGAUUGUAAACUGCUUUUGUACAGGAAGAAAAAGAGUUACGUGUAGCUUAUUGACGGUACUGUAAGAAUGAGGAUCGGCUAACUCCGUGCCAGCAGCCGCCGUAA
rnacentral:rRNA from 1 species